GAUAACGAUAUAAACGGGACGAUAAUGUCUUCAGUUUGAUUUUGUGACACGAUGACAAUACCACUAAAAAGAAACAAGCGAAAGAUAAACUUGUCACGUGACACAAACAUGGACCUAAUACAAGAAAGCACAAACUUAUCACGUGACUCCACAAACUUCGACACGAGACACAAGAAAGUGUCUCCAUUUAUACCAUUCAUAUCAUUCAUUUGUAUCAUUUGUAUCAUUCAUAUCAUUCGGAUAAACAAUAGUCAAAUUUAAUCAGAUUUAAUUAAAUCAGAUUUUCUUAUGAUAGUUUUUUUCGCAGAAAUAUACCAAAUCGUGGAAUGCUAGAGUAGCAAAUCGAACGCGCCACUCAACGAGAGUCAAAUAGAAGCAGCCAUUGUACGAAUGCGUUCGAAGCGCAUCGUCGCGGAAACGUAAAAAUCUUAACCAAUAAUGCGGUCGAGGAAAGAAUUGAGACUGAUAGAGAGGUGUUCGUAGAAUGCUUGCGAUAUUCCAAGAAUUGCAUGAUAUUUCUAGUGUCGUUCUAUCAACAUCAUAUUGAUCAUUAUUCGUAUAUGUGAAAAUCGAUGGAGAGAGAAUUUCAAGAAAUUUUAAACACAUUUCGAUUUUUAAUGACGUUUCGAUCAUGGUAUUUGAAGUAACCAAAUAUUUUUAUGAGAUUUAUUGAAGAUAGAAGAUUAAAACGAAAGUAUUCGAAACGUUCACGAUAGAAUUAUUGAGAGAUCGGGUAGAUGCCCGUGCUUCAGCCGGCCGGAAACACCUACGCAUCAUGGUAGCGUGCGAGGUGAUGCUCAGCGAUGGGAACGACCACCUCACGAGACUUCUUUCAACAGAGUUAAAAGAAAAAUGUAAUUCUCAUUUCUUCUGCCGAUAAAUAUAUUGAUAUUCAAUUUUCUAUAAAAUCAUUAUUAAAGUUAUUAAAGUUUGA